UACAAGUGAAACUGAAGCCUUAUGUGUCACAGCUCAGCUGACUGAGAACAAGUAUGACUCUUUUAACUUUGUCUUCAGACUUCCAGGACUAGAUCUACACCAUGAAUCAGGCAGUUGUUCAAAGGGAAAUAAAGUCAAAGUGAAUUUCCGGGAUUUCCUGAGCCUUUGACCUAGUGGGCGUUAUGAUAACCAUCAGGGAAAUGCUUCAGGGGAAAUUUGACGUCACUACCAGGCAGCAAGAAUUAUCAGGGAAUUUCUUAAGCUUUCAUGGGACUUCCUUGAACCUGACCCAGGACUCCAGCAUGUUUUCUGGGGCUGCAGCAUCUGGGACACCCUGGGCAGCACCCGCUGCAUCUUGCUGGCAGCCAACCUGGUGGAUCCUACCCUUUUCUAUGGGCAUGGACUGAACUCUAAACCAGUUUCCUGCCUAGGGGCUGCUACUGAAGCUCCCCAGACUAUUUCUGCAAUCUGUUGUUUUAAUAAAACAUUUUUGAGUAAUCCCACUGUCUGUCUUUCCUGAAUAUUAGGCCCUGUGUUCUGAGUUGUGACAAAUUAAUAUUAUAGUGUGUUUAAAAUAAAAUUUCUUUAAAAGA